rnacentral:rRNA from 1 species
UUCAAAUUUCUGCCCUAUCAACUUUCGAUUGUAGGGUAUUGGCCUACAAUGGUAUCAACGGGUAACGGGGAAUUAGGGUUCGAUUCCGGAGAGGGAGCCUGAGAAACGGCUACCACAUCCAAGGAAGGCAGCAGGCGCGCAAAUUACCCAAUCCCGACACGGGGAGGUAGUGACAAUAAAUACUGAUACAGGGCUCUUUUGGGUCUUGUAAUUGGAAUGAGUACAAUUUAAAUCCCUUAACGAGGAACAAUUGGAGGGCAAGUCUGGUGCCAGCAGCCGCGGUAAUUCCAGCUCCAAUAGCGUAUAUUAAAGUUGUUGCAGUUAAAAAGCUCGUAGUUGAACCUUGGGCCUGGCUGGCCGGUCCGCCUCACCGCGUGCACUGGUCCGGCCGGGCCUUUCCUUCUGGAGAACCGCAUGCCCUUCACUGGGUGUGUCGGGGAACCAGGACUUUUACUGUGAAAAAAUUAGAGUGUUCAAAGCAGGCCUUUGCUCGAAUACAUUAGCAUGGAAUAAUAGAAUAGGACGUGCGGUCCUAUUUUGUUGGUUUCUAGGACCGCCGUAAUGAUUAAUAGGGAUAGUCGGGGGCAUCAGUAUUCAAUUGUCAGAGGUGAAAUUCUUGGAUUUAUUGAAGACUAACUACUGCGAAAGCAUUUGCCAAGGAUGUUUUCAUUAAUCAGUGAACGAAAGUCAGGGGAUCGAAGACGAUCAGAUACCGUCGUAGUCUUGACCGUAAACUAUGCCGACUAGGGAUCGGGCGAUGUUAUUAUUUUGACUCGCUCGGCACCUUACGAGAAAUCAAAG